UACGGAGGAUGCGAGCGUUAUCCGGAUUUAUUGGGUUUAAAGGGUGCGCAGGCGGCACGGCAAGCCGGCGGUCAAAUCGCGGGGCUCAACCCCGCCCAGCCGUCGGAACUGCCGGGCUAGAGUGGGCGAGAAGUGCGCGGAAUGCGUGGUGUAGCGGUGAAAUGCAUAGAUAUCACGCAGAACUCCGAUUGCGAAGGCAGCGCACCGGCGCCCUACUGACGCUCAGGCACGAAAGCGUGGGUAUCGAGCAGG
rnacentral:rRNA from 1 species